GCAGGUUCGAAUCCUGCACGACCCACCAAUAUACAAGGUGGUAACUGGUAGAGAACGUGAAGGAUAAUGUUGCUUUAGCAACGGCCCGAAGGGCGAGGCAAAGCCGAGUCAUCCUGCACGACCCACCA
rnacentral:sRNA from 1 species